UGUCUUUUUCUAGUUUAAUAUACCUUCCCCCUUAGAUCUCUGCAUUUGAAGAAAUCUCUUUCACAGUGUACUUCCCAGAGAGUGUUUUAUGUGAUUCUUAAUGCCCAGAGGGAACCUUUGAUCCAAAAUAUAAGGUCAGCAGCCAAAACCAGAAUUAGGGUGUCUGCCAUGGGAAAAGUCUACACAUUUCAGGAGGAUGGGUAAGGAUAAUUUGUGGAAAAGGCGAUGUUUCCCUCUUUCCCCCUUCAGUCUGGUGGCUGAUGUUUUUUAGGUCAGUCACCUCUGCCAAAGACAGAUUUUUGUCAUCAAAUAGGAACUAAACCCUGUGUCACAUGGGAAGUUUCUAGGACCUUUUUUCCCUUCUGUUGACACCCGUAUCUAUUGGCACUUGCAAUGGUCUUUUUCUAUUGCUCAGGUGAUAAGCAUCAUAUCAAGAUGCAAAUAAGGGAACAUUUUUUAUAUUUAAUAUUAAGGUAAAUUUACUCCUUCCCUCUCCCCCCACCAGGAACCUACCAUUCCUACUGACCAUACAGAAUCUUUUGCUAUAGGCCAGGGAGUGAAAUAGCAGAUUAUGUUCUUCACUUCACAGGACCCUGAACUAAGAAUUCUGCACACCUUAUAUGAUAUUGGGGUUAUACAGAAUAUAAAGUACAGAUUAAUAGCCAACCAGUCAUAUUAAAAUGCACCAAAGACAUAACGAUAUCUUGAAACCUCACCAUAGAAAGAAAAGUUCUGUGUAGAUACUUCUGUAAACAAAUCUAGAAAAGUUCAAUUUUACUUGCUUGUAAAAAGUUUUAUAGCCAUGGAAAUGUCUAAAAUUAAGCAAUACUAGAGAAAAACUAAUUUACUUUUCAAAAGAUGAUUCAAGUCUAGAAGUGAGUUUGUUAUCACACGGUAAUUUGCUAAACUGAAGCAGGAGUUAUUUUGGAUUGAAUUUGUUACAUAGCUCAUGCAUGAAAUGAUCUGUUGCUUGUUCUUGUGAAGUUGUUUUCACACUCGGAAACAGCAGAGGGGAAAAAAAAUGUAUUCUGUCUGAGGCAUUGUAAAAAUAUUGAAGGCUCUGUCUGAGGUUUUUUGUAGAGGUAUCUGACUAGAACUUGUCAUUUACACUUUACAGGCCAAUAAUUGUUAAGCCAAAAUCGCAGAUGCUUAGCUUUCAGAAUCAUUUCUUAAUGUAGACUGUUCAGAGACCGAUUCAGGCAUCUUGAAACUGUCACUCAUGUGAUUACACUGCCAUCGUGUGGUUUUAAAGAUCCCCUUCAAUUGAAAAAAAAAAUCAAAAUAAAUGGCCUCUGACUUACAAAAAGGAAAUUGUAAUAAUCCAAGUAUUGUCUCUGUUUUUGUUUGUUUGUCCUCUAUCACAAUACCACACAUAGUCCAGGGAUGACCACUGGUAGUUGAACAGAGGUAUAGGCAUGCUUCUAAUAAAUGUGCAAAAGUUUCCAGGGAUUUAGCUUCUGCCCAGUGAAUGCCAUCAAGACGCUUGCUAGGAUAUGCCACUUUUACUGACCUUUUCUGCAUGAAUCUGGCAUUUGCAAUAUCCAGAAAAAUCUGAAAAAUUCCCUAUAGAUAGCUUUAUGUAAGUGGAUCUCACAAUGGAGUCCCUGAAACAGCAGAAUCAGCAUCCCUGGAGAAGUAGGUAGAAAUUCUAAUUCUUCAGUUCCAUCCUGUACCAAACCAGAGAGAGACUCCAGUGAUGGGACCCAGAAAUCUGUUUUUUGUUUUUGUGGGUUUUUUUGUCUUUUUUAGGGCUGCACCCGUGGCAUGUGGGGAUUCCCAGGCUAGGGGUCCGAUUGGAGCCUCAGCUGCUGGCCUACGCCACAGCCACAGCAACACCUGAUCCAAGCUGCAUCUGUGACCUACACCACAACUCACGGCAAUGCCAGAUCCUUAACCCACUGAGUGAGGUCAGGGAUCAAACCCACAUCCUUGUGGAUACUAAUCAGGUUCAUUACUGCUGAGCCGCAAUGGGAACUCCAGAAAUCUGUGUUUUUAACAGACUUUCCAGGUAAUUCUGAUGCUUGCUAAGGUUUGAGAAUCACUGCUGUAGACAAUUGCACCUGUCCUUGGGUGUAUGAACACAUUUCCCUAGACAGAACUAAAGUCAGUAACUGCUCCUGGCCCACCAAAAAUGCCAAAGGAAAUGGAAGAGAAGGGCACCCAGACUUCCUUUGAAUAUGGUUGCCCAGCACUUGGGUGCCCCCCUGGGGAGGAAGAAACAGAACAUCUGUGAAGUCCGCAUUCUCAUCAGCUGGGGAUUAUUGGCACCUAUGGAAGCAGCAAUUUGAUGUGAGUAUAUGUUAUAUAUAAGACCACUUUUUCAGACAUUAAAAAUACAGUUUUAAAGAGUUCCCUGGUGGACUAGUGGUUAAGGAUCUGAUGUUGUCACUGCUGUGGCACAGGUUCCAUCCCUGGCCUGGGAACUUCCACAUGCUGAGGGUACGGCCAAAAAAAAAAAAAAAAAAAAAUGCAGUUGUAAGAAGGGAAUCAAAAAAUGUGAAAACGCCCCAGGCUCUAAAAAGUGCUAAAAACUAUUUGGACGGCAUGGUGAUGUCCUGCCCUGUCACAGCAACUUCCCAAUGCCUCUGACUGGCUAAGCAGGAAGGUUGGCCCUCGGCUGCCAGGACUUCUGACUGCUUUAAGAAGAGCCAGAAAUCAGAUUUUUUUAUGUGCCAUAUUCCCUGUUUUACGUGUGAGCUCCAUUUUAAGUGCCUGUCUGAUUAAAAAAAUGAGAGCUGUUUGUUCAGUCUACUGACCUCCCAAAUGUGCUCUGGGCUGCACAGUUGGGGAAAAUUGUGGCUGUCCACCUCAACACACAUUUAGGACCAUGUGCGUAUCUUGUGCGCAAAUGAUUUGCAUGUGUGUGUUUUCAUCUCUGUGAAAUUUAUACAUACUAAGCAUGGAAAUCCAGUGUCUCAGCACAUGAGGGAAAUACUGUAUUCAGCCAUGAAGACGCUUCAGACUGAAUAAUGCUGCGUGUUAAUAAUCUGGCUCAUCUCUGUGAAGGCACUGGUUCAAUUCCUACCCGAUACAGUGGGUAAAGGAUUGGGCAUUGCUGCAGCUGUGGUGUAGGUUGCAGCUACGGCUCAUAUAUGGAACUUCCACAUGCCUUAGGUGCGGCUGAAAGGGAAAACAAAUAAUGUAUAUGCUUUGAGAAGAAAAUAAUAGUUUUUCUACAAAUGUGAAGUAUGUUUUCACACUUAAAAAUUUUAUAAAUUUCCCAGUAUACAUACAAUAAAAGUAAUGAGGAUAUACAGAUCCCUUGCAGUGUGACUUAUUCUUAAGGACAUAUAAAGUACUUCAAAAAUAUCCAGCUCAUGAAUAAAUUUAGGUACUCAAUUGGAGCAAAAAUCAUGUUUUAAUAUGUGUGCACACACACAUGCACGCACACACACACACAUAUCCCUGGCUCUGAAAGAAAUGCUUAAGAAAUAACUGCUGAAUUAAUAGAAGCCUAAGUACUGGCUCAGGUGUUACCAAGUGAAUCUCUUUACCAGGCAUGCUCUCUCUGGCCUGACCCUCACUGUGGUCACUGUAUCCAAGACUCAGAGAAUGCUGCCUUACUUAUUUCACUACAACUUGUAGAUUUUCUGAAAAACUUUAGGAAUAUAACCAACUUUAGAUAGAUUCUGUUUUUCUCUAUAGUUUCUUUCCAAAUCUAAUAACAUUCCAGUAGCUCAACUGCUGACAGUAUCUUUAAAGUUUUCUGAUAGGAGAAUUGGUUCUGGGGUAGGUUACAAUAUUCACUCUGAGCCAAAAGUCAUUUCAGUCACUGGAGACCAAUGUCUGGAUAUAUUCCUACCCUUCUCUAUACAACAGACUCUCCUGGGGGAGCUAGUUCUUCAGAUGUGUUGCCAGUUUUUCUCCUCAUAGAUUCUGGGGGUUUAAGAGAAUCUCCCUAGGGAGUUCCUGUUGUGGUGCAGCAGAAACGAAUCCGGCUAGGAACCAUGAGGUUGUGGGUUCGAUCCUUGGCCUCUCUCAGUGGGUUAAGGAUCCGGUGUUGCCGUGAGCUGUGGUGUAGGCUGGCAGCUAUAGCUCUGAUUAGACCCGUAGCCUGGGAACCUCCAUAUGCCGUGGGUGUGGCCCUCAAAAGACAAAAAAAAAAAAAAAAAAAAAGACACACGAGAAAAGGGUAUCUCCCUAAAAUGCAUAUACUCUUGGGAGAGAUGAAAACAUGAUGUCUUCCUCAUCCACUCAUUAAAUAUUAUUGGGAAUUUUCUAUUGCAAUUGGAGGGAGCCAGAUGGAUAUGGCAAAGACUUCUACAUGAUUUCUAACCAGAAGAAGCACAGAAACCAGGAACCAAAACAAACAAUUGCAGAACAGUAUAAUUAAGGUG
rnacentral:lncRNA from 1 species